CGUAUCGGAGAAGCGCAGGAAACUGUGCGAAACUCGCCUGUAAUCCCGGCAUCACCGCAUCGCGGUGUGGCGACUCUCUCAAACACUGCACAAUGAUGCAGCACUCUC
rnacentral:ncRNA from 1 species